GUAAGAGACCAGAGCCAGACCAUGGCCCCACUACAGGCCAAUAAAGAGGACAGGAAGCAGUUGGUCUCCAUGUCCACUGAAGGAGUAAUUCCCGGUGCCGUCUCUGGACACCAUAUGGUAAUAGUCAUAGGUAACCUUCUCCUCCGAACCCAUCUGGGAUGAAACCUCCUCCCCGUCCUUAUAGAAGACGACCCGUGUGGCUGGGAUCUGGGACAACACGGAGCACUGGAGCUGCACAGAGUCCCCAGGCUGGGCAGACGUCUGGCUCAGAUCCAGACUAACACGGCUACCCCUCUGAUACUUGACACCUUACCAGUGAUGCUGAGGUGCUUGGCAGGGCUGAGCUGGGAUUUGGUCAUCCGGCUGUCGCUGUCCUUGAUCUCGUACCCACAGGAAUAAUUCCCGGAGCUGUGCCCAGACACC